rnacentral:rRNA from 1 species
GACGAACGCUGGCGGCGUGCUUAACACAUGCAAGUCGUACGGUAAGGCCCUUUCGGGGGUACACGAGUGGCGAACGGGUGAGUAACACGUGAGUAACCUGCCCACAACUUUGGGAUAACGCUAGGAAACUGGUGCUAAUACUGGAUAUGUGCUCCUGCUGCAUGGUGGGGGUUGGAAAGCUCCGGCGGUUGUGGAUGGACUCGCGGCCUAUCAGCUUGUUGGUGGGGUAGUGGCCUACCAAGGCGGCGACGGGUAGCCGGCCUGAGAGGGUGACCGGCCACAUUGGGACUGAGAUACGGCCCAGACUCCUACGGGAGGCAGCAGUGGGGAAUCUUGCACAAUGGGCGCAAGCCUGAUGCAGCAACGCCGCGUGCGGGAUAACGGCCUUCGGGUUGUAAACCGCUUUCAGCAGGGACGAAGCUUUUUGUGACGGUACCUGCAGAAGAAGCACCGGCUAACUACGUG